rnacentral:lncRNA from 1 species
CUUCCCCUGCUUGAGCCCCGCGGAGACCGAGAUGGGGGAGGGGGGGCGAGGCCGUGGAGAAGCCACGUGGUGUCCAAGAGUUUCAGGUCUCUUUCUCCCUUGCUAGGGUCUCUUCCGGGUCAAGACGACAUCCGCUUUCCCCUGGGCCUACAAGUAUUGUGUCCCGUGCUCUGGGAGGAAACGGCGCUCAGCGAAUUUAAAUGAAAGAAAACACUUGAAAAUUGUUUCUCUCUUGCCUUCCCUUUCCCCAGUCGCCCCUGGCUCUAGAAAGACAGCAAAGUCCCCAAACUCCUCUGAAGGCCCUUAACUCACCGUUGUUGCUCCCCUCUGAAAGGAACCAUUUCUUGAACUUCACUAUUUCCAGGAGCCAAGUUAAGGGCUGCAAACACCGUCUCAUUUUCAAUCCUGUGAGGCAGGAGCUAAUUCUCCUUAUCCUCAUCCAGAUCUUCUGCACCCCAAGUAGCUUGCCUGAUGGAGUGACUCAAAUCUUUAUCCUUGAGGAAUCGGAAACCAUGUUUUUAAUCAGAUAAUUGUUGCUAUAAUUGUAUAUUUUCAGUAAAAGCUGGACAUGGGAGCACUAGAGUAACUCAAUGGAUCAGCUGUUUCUACCACUUGGAUUCCACGUCUGUGUAUCUAACUUGCUGGAGAUACAACAUAAUGUAAUAG